rnacentral:rRNA from 1 species
AGGCCUAACACAUGCAAGUCGAGCGGAUGAGAAGAGCUUGCUCUUCGAUUCAGCGGCGGACGGGUGAGUAAUGCCUAGGAAUCUGCCUGGUAGUGGGGGACAACGUUUCGAAAGGAACGCUAAUACCGCAUACGUCCUACGGGAGAAAGCAGGGGACCUUCGGGCCUUGCGCUAUCAGAUGAGCCUAGGUCGGAUUAGCUAGUUGGUGAGGUAAUGGCUCACCAAGGCGACGAUCCGUAACUGGUCUGAGAGGAUGAUCAGUCACACUGGAACUGAGACACGGUCCAGACUCCUACGGGAGGCAGCAGUGGGGAAUAUUGGACAAUGGGCGAAAGCCUGAUCCAGCCAUGCCGCGUGUGUGAAGAAGGUCUUCGGAUUGUAAAGCACUUUAAGCUGGGAGGAAGGGCAUUAACCUAAUACGUUAGUGUUUUGACGUUACCGACAGAAUAAGCACCGGCUAACUCUGUGCCAGCAGCCGCGGUAAUACAGAGGGUGCAAGCGUUAAUCGGAAUUACUGGGCGUAAAGCGCGCGUAGGUGGUUUGUUAAGUUGGAUGUGAAAGCCCCGGGCUCAACAUGGGAACUGCAUCCAAAACUGGCAAGCUAGAGUACGGUAGAGGGUGGUGGAAUUUCCUGUGUAGCGGUGAAAUGCGUAGAUAUAGGAAGGAACACCAGUGGCGAAGGCGACCACAUGGACUGAUACUGACACUGAGGUGCGAA